UUGUAACGACAGGGAAUAGCUCCUUUAAACAAUCGAAAUUAAGCAUGUCAGGAAUAAGAGAAAAAUCUCAUCCUGACACGAACGAAGGCCUGAUUAUUUAGAGACCGGAUGGGGGAAGAGGCCCUUACAACGACCCUUAUGUGCCCGCACGUCAUGUUAGGAACAGGAGUAGAAUCUCAUCCUAACAUGAGCAAAGUCGAAGGCCUAGUUAUUUA
rnacentral:lncRNA from 1 species